CUAGAAUCUUAAUUUCAAUUUUUCGCAAAACAAUAUUAUCUACCUGAUCCAAAUUGUUCAAAACUUUUAUUAUUUAGCAAUUGUAUAGUUAGAGAACCCUGCUCUGGUGGUGAGAAGUGAUUCCUCGUCAUACAUAUAUUCGACUCCAACUAGAAAGUGUUGCUCAUAUCCAGACUAGUUGUUGCUGACAGGUUGGGCUUGAAGUUUACGUUAAUAGCACCCCAAUCAAACCAUGUCAAAGGGCAUUUCAAAGAUGAAGUUGGACACAAAAUUCGUUAUUUUCCGUCGGCCUAUUUCCGAUACGAGGCCAAGCACCGACGCGAGAGAGGUGAACUUCAUCUAUCUGAACUAGAGAUAUCGACCCAUCAACUCAUGGAGCGGGGAACAUCGAGCUUACUUCCCUUCCGAAGGAAGGCGUGACCACAGAUUUUUUCACCUCAGCAAAAUCUCGACAACCUCGCUCACGCUUACUACUCAACCACCGGUGCCGUCAAGAAUGGUAUUUGAGUUCAGCUCCACGCCACGGGGCAGCCAAAUACAACCAUGCGCCAAGA